rnacentral:rRNA from 1 species
UUGAAUUGAAGAGUUUGAUCAUGGCUCAGAUUGAACGCUGGCGGCAGGCUUAACACAUGCAAGUCGAACGGUAGCACAUAGGAGUUUGCUCCUUGGGUGACGAGUGGCGGACGGGUGAGUAAUGCUUGGGAAUCUGGCUUA